rnacentral:rRNA from 1 species
GGUUUGAUCCUGGCUCAGAUUGAACGCUGGCGGGAUGCUUUACACAUGGCAUGCAAGUCGAACGGCAGCACGGACUUCGGUCUGGUGGCGAGUGGCGAACGGGUGAGUAAUGUAUCGGAACGUGCCUAGUAGCGGGGGAUAACUACGCGAAAGCGUAGCUAAUACCGCAUACGCCCUUCGGGGAAAGCGGGGGACCUUCGGGCCUCGUCACUAUUAGAGCAGCCGAUAUCGGAUUAGCUAGUUGGUGGGGUAACGGCUCACCAAGGCGACGAUCCGUAGCUGGUUGAGAGGACGACCAGCCACACUGCAGGACUGAGACACGGCCCAGACUCCUACGGGAAGGCAGCAGUGGGGAAUUUUGGACAAUGGGGAAACCCUGAUCCAGCCAUCCCGCGUGUGCGAUGAAGGCCUUCCGGGUUGUAAAGCACUUUUUGGCAGGAAAGAAACGGCACAGGAUAAUACCCCGUGCAACUGACGGUACCUGCAGAAUAAGCACCGGCUAACUACGUGCUAGCGGCCGCGGUAAUACGUAGGGUGCAAGCGUUAAUCGGAAUUACUGGGCGUAAAGCGUGCGCAGGCGGUUCGGAAAGAAGAUACGGGCUCCAGAGCUUAACUUUGGAACUGCAUUUUAACUACCGAGCUAGAGUGUGUCAGAGGGAGGUGGGUGCGUGUAGCAGUGAAAUGCGUAGAUAUGCGGAGGAACACCGACCGAAGGCAGCCUCCUGGGAUAACUGACGCUCAUGCACGAAAGCGUGGGAGCAAACAGGAUUAGAUACCUGGUAGUCCACGCCUAAACGAUGUCAACUAGCUGUUGGGGCCUUCGGGCCUUGGCGCAGCUAACGCGUGAAGUUGACCGCCUGGGGAGAGUACGGUCGCAAGAUUAAAACUCAAAGGAAUUGACGGGGACCCGCACAAGCGGUGGAUGAUGUGGAUUAAUUCGAUGCAACGCGAAAAACCUUACCUACCCUUGACAUGUCUGGAAUCGAAGGAGAUUUGGGAGUGCUCGCAAGAGAACCGGAACCUGGGUACUGCAUGGCUGUCGUCAGCUCGUGUCGUGAGAUGUUGGGUUAAGUCCCGCAACGAGCGCAACCCUUGUCAUUAGUUGCUACGAAGGGCACUCUAAUGAGACUGCCGGUGACAAACCGGAGGAAGGUGGGGAUGACGUCAAGUCCUCAUGGCCCUUAUGGGUAGGGCUUCACACGUCAUACAAUGGUCGGGACAGAGGGUCGCCAACCCGCGAGGGGAGCCAAUCCCAGAAACCCGAUCGUAGUCCGGAUCGCAGUCUGCAACUCGACUGCGUGAAGUCGGAAUCGCUAGUAAUCGCGGAUCAGCAUGUCGCGGUGAAUACGUUCCCGGGUCUUGUACACACCGCCCGUCACACCAUGGGAAUUGGGUUUUACCGAAGUAGUUAGCCUAACCGUAAGGAGGCGAUUACCACGGUAGGAUUCAUGACAGGGUGAAGUCGUAACAAGGUAA